GUGCUUGCUUCGGUAGCACAUAUACUAAAAUUGGAAUGAUACAAAGAAGAUUAGCAUGGCCCCUGUACAAGGAGGACAUGCAAAUUCGUGAAGCAUUCCAUAUUUUU
rnacentral:snRNA from 1 species